rnacentral:rRNA from 1 species
UUUCGCAAUGGGCGAAAGCCUGACGAAGCGACGCUGCGUGAGUGAUGAAGGCUUUCGGGUUGUAAAACUCUUUCGCGCAAGAGCAAAGUGAGUUAGUGAACAACUGAUUCAUGUGAGAGUACUGCGUAAAGAAGCACCGGCUAACUCCGUGCCAGCAGCUGCGGUAAUACGGAGGGUGCAAGCAUUAAUCGAAAUUAUUGGGCGUAAAGGGCGCGUAGGCGGGAUUAAAAGUCAGAUGUGAAAUUCCGAAGCUCAACUUCGGAGCCGCAUUUGAAACUGCAAUUCUUGAGGGAUGGCGGAGGAAACGGAAUUCCACGUGUAGCGGUGAAAUGCGUAGAUAUGUGGAGGAACACCUGUGGCGAAAGCGGUUUUCUAGCUUUUACCUGACGCUGAGGCGCGAGAGCAAGGGGAGCAAACAGGAUUAGAUACCCUGGUAGUCCUUGCCGUAAACGAUGUAUACUUGAUGUAGUUAGGCUCAACCCUGGCUG